GUUAAUCGGGGCAGGGUAAGUCGACCCCUAAGGCGAGGCCGAAAGGCGUAGUCGAUGGGAAACGGGUUAAUAUUCCCGUACUUCUUACAAUUGCGAUGGGGGGACGGAGAAGGCUAGGUGGGCCUGGCGACGGUUGUCCAGGUUCAAGUGCGUAGGCUUAAGAGUUAGGUAAAUCCGGCUCUUUUUAAGGCUGAGACACGACGUCGAGCACCUACGGGUGUGAAGUCAUUGAUGCCAUGCUUCCAGGAAAAGCCUCUAAGCUUCAGAUUGUAAGGAAUCGUACCCCAAACCGACACAGGUGGUCGGGUAGAGAAUACCAAGGCGCUUGAGAGAACUCGGGUGAAGGAACUAGGCAAAAUGGUACCGUAACUUCGGGAGAAGGUACGCUCUCGACGGUGAAGUCCCUUGCGGAUGGAGCUAUUGAGAGUCGCAGAUACCAGGUGGCUGCAACUGUUUAUUAAAAACACAGCACUGUGCAAAAUCGUAAGAUGACGUAUACGGUGUGACGCCUGCCCGGUGCCGGAAGGUUAAUUGAUGGGGUUAGACUUCGGUCGAAGCUCUUGAUCGAAGCCCCGGUAAACGGCGGCCGUAACUAUAACGGUCCUAAGGUAGCGAAAUUCCUUGUCGGGUAAGUUCCGACCUGCACGAAUGGCGUAAUGAUGGCCACGCUGUCUCCACCCGAGACUCAGUGAAAUUGAAAUCGCUGUGAAGAUGCAGUGUACCCGCGGCUAGACGGAAAGACCCCGUGAACCUUUACUACAGCUUGGCACUGAACAUUGACCCUACAUGUGUAGGAUAGGUGGGAGGCUUUGAAGCACGUACGCCAGUAUGUGUGGAGCCGUCCUUGAAAUACCACCCUUGUAGUGUUGAUGUUCUAACGUCGACCCCUAAUCGGGGUUGCGGACAGUGCCUGGUGGGUAGUUUGACUGGGGCGGUCUCCUCCCAAAGAGUAACGGAGGAGCACGAAGGUGGGCUAAUCACGGUUGGACAUCGUGAGGUUAGUGCAAUGGCAUAAGCCCGCUUGACUGCGAGAAUGACAAUUCGAGCAGGUGCGAAAGCAGGUCAUAGUGAUCCGGUGGUUCUGAAUGGAAGGGCCAUCGCUCAACGGAUAAAAGGUACUCCGGGGAUAACAGGCUGAUACCGCCCAAGAGUUCAUAUCGACGGCGGUGUUUGGCACCUCGAUGUCGGCUCAUCACAUCCUGGGGCUGAAGUCGGUCCCAAGGGUAUGGCUGUUCGCCAUUUAAAGUGGUACGCGAGCUGGGUUUAGAACGUCGUGAGACAGUUCGGUCCCUAUCUGCCGUGGGCGUUGGAAGAUUGAAGGGGGCUGCUCCUAGUACGAGAGGACCGGAGUGGACGAACCUCUGGUGUUCGGGUUGUGUCGCCAGACGCAUUGCCCGGUAGCUAAGUUCGGAAUCGAUAACCGCUGAAAGCAUCUAAGCGGGAAGCGAGCCCUGAGAUGAGUCUUCCCUGAUACUUUAAGUAUCCUAAAGGGUUGUCGGAGACUACGACGUUGAUAGGUCAGGUGUGUAAGUGCUGUGAGGCAUUGAGCUAACUGAUACUAAUUGCCCGUGAGGCUUAACCAUACAACACCCAAGGGGUUU
rnacentral:rRNA from 17 species